UACGAGGGGGGCGAGCGUUGUUCGGAAUUAUUGGGCGUAAAGGGCGCGUAGGCGGUGCGGUAAGUCACCUGUGAAACCUCUGGGCUUAACUCAGAGCCUGCAGGCGAAACUGCCGUGCUGGAGUGUGGGAGAGGUGCGUGGAAUUCCCGGUGUAGCGGUGAAAUGCGUAGAUAUCGGAAGGAACAUCAGUGGCGAAAGCGACUUCCUGGACCAAUACUGACGCUCAUGUGCGAAAGCGUGGGGAGCAAACAGG
rnacentral:rRNA from 1 species